AUGAAUUCAACAGGAAUUUCUGUCUCAUCUUUCACACUAAGCUGUCUAACUCUCACUACAAGCCAGAGCUACAGGCUCAGACCACUCAUUAAUCUCACUAUCACCAGGGAUGGGCUGGAAGAACGGCAGCUGGCUGUGUUGCUUGGUGCUGAAAGGCUAGACUUGGAAAAUCGCAAGGCCUUCAAAGUAGUCUUCCACAAAGCAAUUAAGCAAGCUGAAGACAUUUGGUAGUGUAUCUCCAGUUUGACAGAAGCUGUCACGUAUUCAACAUUUGUUUUCAUGAGCCAAGGACUUUUUGAGAAGGAUAAGCUCAUCUCCUGGCCCAAACUGCUUCUCAGGUGAGGAAAAUUUUUCUGAUUGAUGUUACUGAUAUUAUUGGUUUCUGUUUCUUACCUUAGUACAUGAUGCUUCUGCCUAAGCAAGCUAUCUUUUUGCCUGAUGGCUGUGCAGUUUCUCACACAGUGUGAUUUCUGCUUCAAUAUAAAUCAGAAUUGCAGAAAUUCCAAAGAUAUUUUUAUCCAACUCGAUUUAUUUAAAAUGCUGCAGUGACUUUAUGAAGCUACAUUAGGGAUAGAUCACAUGAUUUAACUGCUUGUGGUUAUAUAAUUAAUAGUGGAAUUGAUGUGGCAUAGUAAAAUAAGAAUUCUCUUAAUAAUACACGUAUCACAUUCAGGCUGCUAUUUUUCCUUUUUUAUUUUAGAAUCUGUAAAUCCCGGGAAAAGAUCAGGGAUUACUACUUUUCUGGUAGAUUUUGCCCUGAAGAGCUUGCUCCAAAAGAUCUUGUAUCACAGAGCUAUCAGUAACAAAGGUGGGGAUUAAACUAGAAGCUAACCAUUCAUGAAGAAAGUAAAAGGUUAUAAAUUUGGGAAUCUACUUAGGGGGGUGAUAGGAAAAAGGGAAUCACUCUACAGAGUGUAUAAAUGGGAGUUACAAGCAGACAAAUAUCUGGAAGUGAAAGGAGAGAGAAGGGUGAGGGGAGAGAAAACUGGUGAUAUCUCUGCAUCAUAAUACAAAUGGAUUUCUUUGUAUCACCCAGGCUUGUAGCACUGUGAUGCUUAACUUUGCCUUUUUUAUAGCAGUGGUACUGGGAUGGAUCAAGAACAAUGGAAAUCUAUACAAGAACUGAAAAAUAAGGUCUGUCAUAAUUACAGCAUAGACAGAAGCCAGAGUAUGGGGCACAAUAAAUUUCUGAUUUUUUAAAUACA
rnacentral:lncRNA from 1 species